ensembl:snRNA U1 U1 spliceosomal RNA
AUACUUACCUGGCAGGGGAGACACCAGGGUCACAAUGGUGGCCCACCCAGGAUAAGGCUUAUCCUUUGCAUUCCAGGUGUGCUGACCCUUGUGAUUUCCCCAGAUGCUGGAAACUGAACUGAAUGAUUUGUAGUAGUGGGGAAAUGUGUUCAUGAUCACUUC